rnacentral:sRNA from 2 species
GCACCUGCAAAAUCAGGUGCCGGGAUUGGUCUCCUGAAAUACUUCAUCGGCGACAUAGGACGCGCCAGCGUCUUUUUU